UAAACGGCGAGUGAAACGGGAAGAGCCCAGCGCCGAAUCGAUCAGUCUUUGGCUGCUUCGAAAUGUGGCGUAUAGGUGUAAGUUUCCAGCAGUGUCGUAUGUCCGAAGUCCUUACGAUUGAGGCCAUAAACCAGAGAGGGUGCGAGCCCCGUUCUGGAUAGCGGCACUGUUGGUUCGCUUGCUCCUUGGAGUCGGGUUGCUUGAAAGUGCAGCCUAAAGUGGGUGAUAAACUUCAUCUAAGGCUAAAUAUCGACUCGAUUGCGAUAGCGAACAAGUACCGUGAGGGAAAGUUGCAAAGGACUUUGAAGAGAGAGUUCAAGAGAACGUGAAAUCGCUGGAGUGGAACCGGAGACAGUUGAUGUUGCUUGGAGACAAGCUUGGUGACUGGUCGCUUAGUUGUGAUCGUUGCCGGGUGUCGUUUCCUAUGCUACGCCGACGGCGUUGGCUGCUCGUUCUAGCCCGACAGUGUUGCCCAUCUCGCAAGAGAAGGUGUCUUGCUGGCGGUAGUGGGUUCGUGGCGGCUAGCGUUUAGUUACGCUAGUGUGUGUGACGUCGGUGUGAAAGUCGACGACGUUUCCGACCCGUCUUGAAACACGGAUUGCGGAGUGCUUGUCUACUGCGAGUCAAAGGGUGUUAAAACCUUGCGGCGAAAUGAAAGUAAAGGUCAGUCUCGAAUUGGCCGACGUGGGAUCUGUGUUCUUCGGAGUGCAGCGCACCACGGCCCUGUGCGUGUCACUUGUGACUGUGCAGAGGUUGAGCAGUUGGCAAACGACCCGAAAGAUGGUGAACUAUGCCUGAGCAGGAUGAAGCCAGAGGAAACUCUGGUGGAAGUCCGUAUCGGUUCUGACGUGCAAAUCGAUCGAUAGACUUGGGUAUAGGGGCGAAAGACUAAUCGAAC
rnacentral:rRNA from 1 species